UUGCAACAUCCCUGCAAACAAGGACAACAAUAAUCAUCAAAACAAUGAAAUUGAGGAUGUUGAUGAUGAUUCUUAUCAGUUGCAUAAGAAUAACUCAUUUGAGGUGCAUAGAAGACUUGGCAGUGAAAAACUUUCCACACAUUUGUCAGAUGAAUGUCCACAGGUGUUUGUAAGCGACAGAAGCAUCAAAAAUCCGACUGUACAUUGUGAUAACACUUUAGGUAAUUACAUUUAUCUGUUAUGUUAUUUCACUAUAUCAUGUUGUUACACUCUAGAUAACAUGCACCAUUAGUUGGUUGAGCUCUCAUCAUUCAACCUAUAUGUACACCUAAGACCUUUGCUAUUUUCAACUUUAAAGUCGCAUUGGGUCAGACGAGUCAUCAACAUGAUUCCAAUCAAAGUUCAGAAGUUUUAGAUCCAAGGGAAUGUAAGAGAAUACGAGAAAGAACUCGAUUUGCAACUCAAACAAAAGAACAAAGGGCAUUGCGUAAUAGGGAAUCAUGUAAUAAGAUGGCAAGGAAAAACUAUAAAAGAAGACAACGAGAAAUUAAACUCCAGGACUUAAUCGGCAUUGAGGACCCGAAGUUUACCCCGGAGCUUGUGUGGAGUUCAACAGAUGCUGAAGCGCCUCAUGGGUCUCUAUGUAGCUCCGAAGGCAUGUCUAUCCCUGAGUUAAGUCCAACACCUUUCGUUCCUAAUCCAUCACAGACUGAGGAUGUCGAGAAAGACAGUAUGACAGAGUCUCCUAGACGACAAAGACAUAAACGUCAUGUGUCGUCCGGCCAAAGACAGACCCUGGUGUCUCGUCAAAAUCAGAAAUUUCAUUUAGCCAUUGGAACAAACUUCGCUACUGCAACUAGGGAUCGUGUAAUGGAGAAUGAUGUGGAUAAUGAAAUUGAUCAUCAGACUGUUUCAGAGAUCGACAACAAUGAAAGUACCGGUCUAUGUCCAUUCCCUCACACGGAGAGUAACAAUAUGACUGAAGGAGCAGACAUUGGGAUGCAACACCAGGCAGCCCCGACUG